AACGAACGCUGGCGGCAUGCCUAACACAUGCAAGUCGAACGAGACCUUCGUGUCUAGUGGCGCACGUGUGCGUAACGCGUGGGAACCUGCCCUUAGGUUCGGAAUAACUCCCCGAAAGGGGUGCUAAUACCGGAUAAUGUCUUCGGACCAAAGAUUUAUCGCCUUUGGAUGGGCCCGCGUUGGAUUAGCUAGUUGGUAGGGUAAAAGCCUACCAAGGCGACGAUCCAUAGCUGGUCUGAGAGGAUGAUCAGCCACACUGGGACUGAGACACGGCCCAGACUCCUACGGGAGGCAGCAGUGGGGAAUAUUGGACAAUGGGCGAAAGCCUGAUCCAGCAAUGCCGCGUGAGUGAUGAAGGCCUUAGGGUUGUAAAGCUCUUUUACCCGGGAUGAUAAUGACAGUACCGGGAGAAUAAGCUCCGGCUAACUCCGUG
rnacentral:rRNA from 1 species